rnacentral:tRNA from 1 species
GCCUGGGUGGCUCAGUCGGUUAAGCACCUGACUUUGGCUCAGGUCACGAUCUCAUGGUUCAUGGGAUCAAGUCCGGUAUCAGGCU